GCCCGGGUGGCUUAGCUGGACAUAGCGCCGCACUCAUAGGGUACGAGGCGGUAGCCGCGAUGUCCCGAGGCGCUGCCUGCGCCUCGUUCCUGGGACAUGCGGAGAUCGAGGGUUCGGAGCCCUCCCCGGGCA
rnacentral:tRNA from 1 species